rnacentral:rRNA from 1 species
AAGCUCGUAGUUGAAUUUCGGGGUUCUACCGUUGGUCGGGCUAACCAGUCUGUACUAGCGUGUAGAAUUCCUACCUUCUGGGGAACCAUCAUGUUAUUAAUUUAGCGUGGUGGGAAACCAGGACCUUUACCUUGAAAAAAUUAGAGUGUUCAAAGCAGGCUUACGUCUGAAUACAUUAGCAUGGAAUAAUAAAAUAGGACGGUGGUCCUGUUUUGUUGGUUCCUGAAUCACCGUAAUGAUUAAUAGGGAUAGUUGGG